rnacentral:rRNA from 1 species
GAAGAGAGAGUUCAAAGUACGUGAAACCGUUCAGAGGUAAACGGGUAGAGAGUCGAAUUAGAGGCUGACAAUCAGGUCGUUGGCUAAGUCUGAGUUGGGCUGGUAGCACGUUAAUGGUUACCGGUCUGCUUGUAAGGCUGGCUACGGCUGUAUUUGUUGGUCUUGGAUCGCCGCGAUGGUACUGUACGAUUGUUGGUGGUGAUGGGUUCCUCUGACGUACGUAUUCCCGUUUGAGUCCGGCAAAUCGGCACGUUGCUCGUCCGCGUUUAUCGGAGGUGCAGUCGCUAUUUACAGCGAUUUAAGUGUUUCAUCUGGUUUGUCGAUUGCUCUGUAUCGGUGCGCUGAUCUCAAAUGAGCUCGGUGUUGGUAUCAUGCUGACGGUAGUUGGCUCAAUGACGGAGCAAAGAUCGCAUUGGCGGCGUUUGACUACGAAUCAUCUACCUGACCCGUCUUGAAACACGGACCAAGGAGUCUAACAUGUGCGCAAGCCAUUGGGAAUUGAAACGCAAAAGCGAAGUGAAAGCAAGCAUGGUGAGAUCUGUCGUUCAUUUGUUAAGAAUAACUGCAGCGCAUCAUCGUGACGCCUCAAUUCGGCUUCGGCUGAAGAGACGCAGACUGAGCGCACAUGUUGGGACCCGAAAGAUGGUGAACUAUGCGAGGCGAGGUCGAAGCCAGAGGAAACUCUGGUGGAGGACUGUAGCGGUUCUAACGUGCAAAUUGAUCGUCGCAGCUUCGUAU